AUUGAACGCUGGCGGCAGGCUUAACACAUGCAAGUCGAGCGAGCGGCGGACGGGUGAGUAAUGUCUGGGAAACUGCCUGAUGGAGGGGGAUAACUACUGGAAACGGUAGCUAAUACCGCAUACCAUCAGAUGUGCCCAGAUGGGAUGAGCUAGUAGGUGGGGUAAUGGCUCACCUAGGCGACGAUCCCUAGCUGGUCUGACAGGGUGACCAGCAAAAUUGGAACUGUGACACGGUCCAGACUCCUAGGGAGGGCAGCAGUGGGGAGUAUUGCACAAGGGUCGAAAGCCUGAUGCAGCCAUGCCGCGUGUGUGAAGAAGGCCUUCGGGUUGUAAAGCACUUUCAGCGAGGAGGCGUUACUCGCAGAAGAAGCACCGGCUAACUCCGUGCCAGCAGCCGCGGUAAUUC
rnacentral:rRNA from 1 species